GGCUAAUGCUAGCGGUGCGCCCAACACAUGCAAGCCGAGCGGUAUUUAUUCUUCGGAAUAGAGAGAGCGUCGUACGGGAGCGGGACACGUGUGCAACCUGCCUUUAUCAGGGGGAUAGCCUUUCGGAAGGACGAUUAAUACCUCAUAAUACAUCUGAUGGAAUCAUGAGAAAUUGAUAACUCCGGUUGAUAGAGAUCGGCACGCGCGAGAUUAGAUAGUUGGUGAGGUAACGGCUCACCAAGUCAGUGAUCUUUAGGGGGCCUGAGAGGGUGAUCCCCCACACUGGUACAGAGACACGGACCAGACUCCUACGGGAGGCAGCAGUGAGGAAUAUUGGACAAUGGGUGCGAGCCUGAUCCAGCCAUCCCGCGUGAAGGACGACGGUUCUAUGGAUUGUAAACUUCUUUUAUACUGGGAUAAACCUACCCUCGUGAGGGUAGCUGAAGGUACAGUAUGAAUAAGCACCGGCUAACUCCGUGCCAGCCGCCGCCGUAA
rnacentral:rRNA from 1 species